AAAACAUUAUGUAUGAGGAGUAUUCUAGAAAAGAGAAGCCUGAAAGGCAGUGGUGGGCAGGGUAGGACACUGAUAUGUGAAUGCUGAUAGGUAUUUGAUAUGUGAAAGUUGCUGUGAGGAAGAUCAGUUAUUCUUUUCCACUAAGACAGAAGAAGAAAAAAAUCACUUUUUUUAAACUAAAAAGAUAUUUGUGAUAGAAUUUUUUCAAAAGCCCUAGCUAUAAAAGUAGCCAAGAGUGAAAGAAGUAACCAAACAACUUUGGGAAACCUCCUUCACUGGGUGUUUUUACCAAUUGGUUGAAGACACAUUUGGAAGGAUGUUCUAAAUAUAUUUUACCUAAGUCCAGAAAGAAAUUAUAUGAUCUAUUAAAGGUUCUCCUAGCUCUGUCUUCAGAACAAAAUUGGACAAAAAUAUUUUUAAUUAAUCUCUUUCACUUCUGAAUAUUACAGAAAAAUCCUACCCUGAAUUUUCAUUCUUUUAUUAAAUUGAUCUCAUGCAGUUACUUUCUUUUUAACAAGCAAUUUAUUCCCCAAGACAAAAGCUCAUAGGAAAACUAAACAAAACAGAGAAACCCUUAAAAUCAUUCAGGAGCAAAUUCAGAUGUAUGUCUAGAUCUAAUUUUAGGGUCUCGGUGUCUCAGGAGCUCUGUUACAGUCGGAGAGAGGCAGAGACAUCUGAGGAGAAAACAGUGCCUGCUAUGGUAAGGAACUACAAAAGGGAAGGAGGUGCCUCAGUCUCUCCAGGAACUGUAGAGGAACAUCUACCCAGUGUCUAACCUUCAGGCAGACAAAGCAAGAUUGAAUCGACCACAACUGAUUAAAGUUCUUGUUCUACUUUCAUUGCUAAUGCUGGAGAAAAACAAAAAAAAUAGUGUCAGUUCCUUCUAUUCCACAUAUGACUGCAUUGGAAAUAUUUUUGGAGUAGAGUCAUCAUUUGACUCCAAAUAACAAAAAAAUAUUUAUUCUGCCUUUGGGCAUAAUAUAAUCUAAAGAGAGACAAGUGAGAUUUCAAAAGUACAGGAACUUUAAAUGCUAUACCAAAAUUGAAGAAGAAGCUGCUUGCUAUCAGCCUCUGCAGAGCACUGCCACUACCUCUAAGAACAUUACCAUGUUUAUCACACUUGGCAGAUUGCUCCUGUCACCACUGGAUGCUGUUCACCUUCAUUUUAAUGUGUUCUUUGCACUCUGCUCUAAAUAAACAAUACUGCUGGUUUGUGA